UGUCCCUUCUUUCUGCUGUCUGUAUUGUAUAUCUCUCUCUUACAAAAACCAGUACUGCAAAAAAGCCGUUUCCCCUUUGAAAUCAAUUUCAUCUUCUUCAUUUCUUUCUCCUAUCAAAAAAUGGAGGAGCUGAGUUUCUUUGUCGGGGUAAUAGGCAACAUAAUCUCAGUGCUGGUGUUUCUAUCUCCCGUGGGAACAUUUUGGAGAAUAAUAAAAAGAAGAUCUACUGAGGAAUUUGAGAGUCUUCCUUACGUCUGCACGUUGCUGAACUGUUCGUUAUGGACAUAUUAUGGAAUUACAACUCCUGGAGAAUACCUGGU